rnacentral:rRNA from 1 species
CUCCAUGCCAGCUGGAUUAGUGGCGACGGGUGAGUAACACGUGAGUAACCUGCCCCUGACUCUGGGAUAAGCCCGGGAAACUGGGUCUAAUACCGGAUAUGACUUCCUACUGCAUGGUGGGUUGUUGAAAGAUUUAUCGGUGGGGGAUGGACUCGCGGCCUAUCAGCUUGUUGGUGAGGUAAUGGCUCACCAAGGCGACGACGGGUAGCCGGCCUGAGAGGGUGACCGGCCACACUGGGACUGAGACACGGCCCAGACUCCUACGGGAGGCAGCAGUGGGGAAUAUUGCACAAUGGGCGSAAGCCUGAUGCAGCGACGCCGCGUGAGGGAUGACGGCCUUCGGGUUGUAAACCUCUUUCAGUAGGGAAGAAGCGAAAGUGACGGUACCUGCAGAAGAAGCGCCGGCUAACUACGUGCCAGCAGCCGCGGUAAUACGUAGGGCGCAAGCGUUAUCCGGAUUUAUUGGGCGUAAAGAGCUCGUAGGCGGUUUGUCGCGUCUGCCGUGAAAGUCCGAGGCUCAACCUCGGAUCUGCGGUGGGUACGGGCAGACUAGAGUGAUGUAGGGGAGACUGGAAUUCCUGGUGUAGCGGUGAAAUGCGCAGAUAUCAGGAGGAACACCGAUGGCGAAGGCAGGUCUCUGGGCAUUUACUGACGCUGAGGAGCGAAAGCAUGGGGAGCGAACAGGAUUAGAUACCCUGGUAGUCCAUGCCGUAAACGUUGGGCACUAGGUGUGGGGGACAUUCCACGUUUUCCGCGCCGUAGCUAACGCAUUAAGUGCCCCGCCUGGGGAGUACGGCCGCAAGGCUAAAACUCAAAGGAUUUGACGGGGGCCCGCACAAGCGGCGGAGCAUGCGGAUUAAUUCGAUGCAACGCGAAGAACCUUACCAAGGCUUGACAUGUGCCAGACCGCUCCCGAGAUGGGGUUUCCCUUCGGGGGCUG